UUUCAAUUUUGGCCUAAUUAAAUUUCUUUAAUGCAGUCAGAAAUUAAAGGGAAGCCCAACAAUUGGUCCUUCAGGUGGAAGGAAGGUUGAUGUAAAAGCAGGAAGGGCUGGUGCUGAGCUCUGUGCUUCUAGCCCUAAGUUGGUAUUUUACAGUUGAAAAAUGGUAGUCAUAUGACAAGUGCAGGGUUCAUUUCACUUUACAGCAAUAACAGCUUUUUGGCCUAGUGCAGAGAAGGAUAAUAUGCCUCAGGAAAAAGGAAAAGAAGCAAAAGGAUGUAAUGGACAAAAUCAACUGGUUUCUGGGUGGAUCUUUUCCUUCAAGAAGCAACAACUACACAGACCUUACCUCUGCUGGUGCUCUACAGAAGCGAUGUUGAAUUUUUAACCGAGACACGUUAGCACAGCCAGGACCGUGUCGGUGCUCCCAGCUGCAGAAGGUGUGCUCAGCAGACGGAUGGAGCGAGGGCAGGCAGGGAUCUGCAUCAGCGCCUGUGCCGGGAUGGCAGGACUCUCUUGAAUGAAGCCAUAUGUUGUACUCGCGGGGGACGAGAGGCGGCUUGGUCUGGGCUUGGAGAAACAUGGAAGUGUUGAGAAGAUAGGCCUGAGUCAAGUUCAGGGUUUCAGCAGUUUUCAGCUCUACUUUGUCCUUUCUCCUUCAGAUUUUAGAAGACAAGACAUGCUGCAAGAGCAAACAGGUUUGUUUUUUUUUGCAUCCUAUUACUUACCAAGCACACAGAUUUUUAGGCUGCUGCCGUACUUUUUUCCACACUUCAAAGGAUUAAAAUUGAACACGUUCCAAGUGAAAAGUAACAGCCCAAAUUGAUAAAUUAAACUAGAUGUAACCCUGUGUUUCAUUAUUAAAGCUUGAUGUGUUCAGGCUCAGUCUCCCUGGCACAGGGAGGAUCGUCCUGCCUCCUCUCGGAUGUCUGUCUGUACCCACAGCUGUGGGCUCAUGACAAGUCUCCUGCAACACCUACCAGCUCAAGCCUUGUUUGGGCUGUUCCUCGUCUCUUUCAUGAUGAGGCACUGGACAAAAAAGUGUUACAUCCAUCAAUGAGAGGGCAUUACCUGUAGGAGAAGGCUGACAUCUCUCCUGAUUUUACAGAGGCAUCUGCGGUGCCUCCUGCAGGGGCGGCCUCCAGGCCGGCUGUGGCAUGGUGUUAGUGGUGACACAGAUGUAACCUCCGGCAGCUGCCAGCCCUUCUUGGCCAAAUAAAGUGACUGUUUAAGCGUACCUCUGUCAUUCCUCUGGUUUGCAUAAGGUGCAGUGCUUUUGGGAUUAUUUCAGGGCUAGCUGCCUCACGGUUGUAUUUCUAAGCAUGGUCAGUCAUCUCUAGGCAGUGUUUUGAAGUGUGUUUGGCUUAGUGGAGCCACUUUUUGAAAACUGUAGGCUCUUAUAAAUCCCCAAAUGGAGAUGCAGACAAGUUGUGAUGAUAAGAGUCUUUGCAGCGCCAAGUAUCUCUCCGCAAAUUGUAUGUCUGGCUUUUCCUGCAGCAUCGCAGGGAAGUCCUGCGGGGCCCUGUGUUCAGGGGAGGUGUCUCCUCCUCCCUGCUGACAGCCAAAUUGCACAGUGCCAUGGAUAAUUUUAUAUUCAACGCUUCUCUAAUGUUGCAUUUCCAUGUAAAAAAUUGCUGUCUUUGCCCCUAGGAACAUUAUAAAGCAGCCUGAAACUAUGUUCAAUAGUCUUAGUAUUAUUUCAUACCUCUCACUGAACAAAACAAAUGAUGAGUUGCUUGUCCCCAAACGGAUGAUGAAUAUGAAACACUACAACAGAGGUCCUGUGUGAGGAUUGAUGGAUUUGGGCAAUGCCUUUUUUAUUAUUUUCUCUGUAGCUAAGUUAUAUUCAAAACCCUUCUAUUCAGCAACUCACCUGUGAAAAUUAAUUGGACUGCUUUAUGUACAUUGGACUAAUUUCCAUAUAUUACCCUACCCUUUCUAAAAUGAGUU